CUUUAAAUUCCAGCCACCCAAAUUCUGUUCUCCCAUUACAGCCAGGGUGUUACAGAAGGCGCUGGAGGAAUUCAAAAACCCCAAAAGUGAAUAAAUGCCAGGGCACAUGGGCUGGCUGAACAAAGGCCAAGUUAUAGAAAACAAGAAGCAACAUCCUGUAGUCAAAAAAGAGAGAGAAGAAGAAAAGGAAAACACAGUACCCCGUCUAUCUCAACGUUCCCUUCCCAGCUGGCUGACUGUGAGCCCUGGAUGAAAUUAAGAAAAUGUAGCUUCUACCAGACUGUGGCGAAAUCUCCUAAGGGCUUGAUUCUGAAGAGGUGUGGAUGAAGAUUCACAGAAGCACUGCACCUGCAGCAGGACUACUGAGCAUGGUGCUUUGUUACAAUCCACAGUAAUGACAUUAGGAGACGGAGGCAGGCCCUGCACAGGGGUGGGCCUGCAAGAAACCUGGAUUCAGUACAUGUGUACACGAGGCAUUGAGAGCAGCUGUGACUACCCCUGCUUUUCAUUUCUUCUACAUAUAACUCCUCAGCACACUCAAAUGAGAUACUCCUACUGCCAGUCAGUAGUAAUAACUGAUUAUUUUUUUAAAAAGCAACCUCCACUCAUACUCACAUUCCUAGAUUUUUAAGGGCCCGUUAUGACAAUCUGAUCUGAUCUCCUGUAUAACAGACUAGAGAAUUUCGCCCAGUAAUCCCUGCAUAAAGCCCAUAACAUUCACUGAGUUGUAGGGGGCACCUGUGCUCUGCUUAUAUCUUUCCACUCUCUGCACCUCUAUCAUGCCCACUUUUUCUCCUCCUUAACUUAAGGUAUGUGUUUUUUCACACCCCUGAAUGACUAAAGUUUUAGCACUGAAAGUGGCAGUAUAGACACAGCCUCGGUGUGGGCAUAUUGCUAUGCUCAAUUUGCAGAGCACCAGGCACCUUUCUCCCUAAUGGCUGGACACUUUUCUGCACAGGUGCUGAUCAGUUAUUAAGUGGAAAGUGCUUGUGAUUUGGCUCUGUCUACUUUAUCUAUCUAAUCACAUAUAGACACUAAAACUCUCCUUCAUGUCUGUGGGCCAGGAUUCCGUAGCACCCUCACCCUAGUAUCUCACGUUAAUUCUUUCAGAAGGGCUCAGCAGCCUGCAGGAUCCACACUCUGAUAUUCUUCUUUAAGUUACUAUGUCUUCCUGCCUCUAGGUAUCUCCUCUUACCCUUAUGCUCUUUCCAACGGUUCCAGAGAAGAGCCUUUUCCUCUGAAUUAUGAUUUGAUUAAAGAGCAGUUCAUCUACAGCAGAAGCAUGCUGCCCUGUAGAAAAAUAUUGCAAAGAAACAGGAAUAAAUAUUACACAAUGUGAAAUGUUUCUUGUUUGAAAAAGAUGCAGAUGGCUGACCUCAGCGGUUUGGAAAUAUCUAUUCAUCUAUCACUAUCACCAUUAUUGCUAUAACUAGUAUUAGAAAUAGUAAUUAGCCUCGGUGAACUGAAUUAAAGAGAUAGAAGUACUAAGAAAUGAAACCUGCCAUUGGAUGCAAAUCUAAAUGACGUCCAAGAGAAGCUACACAUGCUCAUUCAACAGCAGAAAUGUUGUCAUAAAAAUGUACCACAACUUUGUAAGCAGAUCUAAGAUUUCUCUCCUAGGACACCAACACACAGACUGGCUCAUCUGUUCAGAGGAUGGGGAGGCCACUCACAACAUUUUGCUUCAGCUUUUUCAUUUAAGCUCCUGUAUCUUUCUUUUUAUUGUGUGCUCAUGACAUUUAGGGCCCAAUCUUGUCACUGAUUCCUGUCAGGGGCCAAGUAAUCUCCUUCUCCACUGACGUCAACAAUUUUUGGUUGCACACUUGAGACACUUUAAAGAAGCUUGAUUUUCAGAGGGCCAGUGCCCAGCACUUCCUGAAUAGCUGCUCUCUUUAAAGCAUCUCAUGACGGGCACCCGAGCAUUGAAGUGCUUUUGAAAUCUUUACCUCUUGAGUCACUAUUAA